CUACGGGAUGCUGCAGUGGGGUAUAUUGGACAAUGGGGGAAACCCUGAUCCAGCAAUGCCGCGUGUGUGAAGAAGGCCUGCGGGUUGUAAAGCACUUUCGGUUGGGAGGACUGCUUCUAGCACUAAUAUUGUUGGAAGUUGACGUUACCUUCAGAAGAAGCACCGGCUACUCCGUGCCAGCAGGCCGCGGUAAUACGGAGGGUGCAAGCGUUAAUCGGAAUUACUGGGCGUAAAGCGCGCGUAGGCGGCUAGAUCAGUCGGGUGUGAAAGCCCCGGGCUUAACCUGGGAACUGCAUCCGAUACUGUCUAGCUUGAGUACAGGAGAGGAGAGUGGAAUUCCACAUGUAGCGGUGAAAUGCGUAGAUAUGUGGAGGAACACCAAUGGCGAAGGCAGCUCUCUGGCCUGAUACUGACGCUGAGGUGCGAAAGCGUGGGGAGCAAACAGGAUUAGAUACCCUAGUAGUC
rnacentral:rRNA from 1 species